rnacentral:misc_RNA from 1 species
AACUUUUUUACUAAAAUUGAAGAACCCAACGAAUCACUGAUAUGCAUGUGUUAGUACAAAUGCACAUGAAGUGAUGAUAUUUUGAGUUUUUGUUUCCAACAUCACGAGAACUGAUGAUCAAGUUCGUGAUUAGAUGGAAAACAAUUUCGAACAAGAGAAACGAGUUCAGAAAGUGACGUUGAUGCUGAUGCUGCUGAAAGUGACGUUGUUGAUGCUGCUGAAAGUGAACAAGAGAAAUGGUGGGAAUGUGAGAUAUGCGAAGGAGCUGUUCUUCUUCAAUUAAACCCAGUUAUCAUAUUUUUUUUUCGAUCUAGGUCUGCAAUUUUUGGCAUCGAAUUUGAUAACUAUGUUGUUGGUGUUCAACGGAAAUUAGUGAUCUUCGUCUCGAUCUGCAAAUUUCAGUUUAUUAUAUAUCCUACACUAACCAAUAUUAAACAUGUAAUUUGAUUUUGAUUUUGUUUUAGAAUUUGAGUUGGUGAUUAAA